GUGCAAACUAGAUCACUAAUUCUGCAAGACGUUGCAGAUUUAAGGGGAACAAGUUUGCUAUACUACUCAAAGCAGUCGGGAAUACUUCAGCCUGCAGUUUAAUACAUGUGGCUGCAUAAUCCUUACUGCUACACAAUA